GAUGAACGCUGGCGGCGUGCUUAACACAUGCAAGUCGAACGGAAAGGCCCUGCGUUUGUGCGGUUCUCGAUUGGGGAAGGGGGGAGUAACACGUGAGUAACCUGCCCUUGACUUUGGGAGAACUUCAGGAAACUGGGGCUAAUAUCGGAUAGGAGCUGCUGCACCGGGGGGGGCAUUGGAAAGUUUCGGCUGUGGGGGAUGGACUCGCGGGUUACCAGCUUGUUUGUGGGGUAGUGGCUGACCAAGGCUGUGACGGGUAGGCGGCCUGAGAGGGUGAACGGCCACCUUGCGCCUGAGAUAGGGACCAGACUGCUACGGGAGGCAGUAGGCGGGAAUCUUGCACAAUGGGAGCGAGUCUGUUGCAGAAACGUCGCGUGCGGGAUGCCGGGUUUUGGGUUGUAAACAGCUUUCGCCUGUGACGAAGCGUGAGUGACGGUACCGAGUAAAGAAGCACCGGCUAACUACGUG
rnacentral:rRNA from 1 species